CUGUUGCUAGGCGGAUGGACCAAUGGCGCGCGAGGGUCGUCUGGGCUCCUCCUCUUCUGGGCCGCGGCUGGAGCCCGGGAAGCGGCGGCUUCCGCGCUUCUUCCCGCGGCUUUUUCUGUUCUUUUUUUUUUUUUUUUUUUUUUUUUUUUUAAGGCAGCGCGGGGCUGGGGGCGCAGAGCCCCGGAGCUCGGGCCAGUGGAAGGUUCACCCGCUGGGCUCGUCGCAUCUGUCUCGCGCUCCCAUCGUCCUCCAGCGUUGCGCAGCCUGGAGGGACAGGACGGACACGCGGGUGCCUCCUUCUAAUUCAUCUUGUAUGGCUUCACCAUUGUGGUUGUCAAUAUGGCAUGCAGAAUUAUCCCUCUUUCCAGGUUUUCCCCAAGGACCCUGGACAAUGCUGGUUUUUUCUGUGCACCACCAAAGGGCCUAUCCAGCUUCUAGAGUCUACCUGGAUUCCUGGGUUCAUGGCCCCUUCCUCCAUCUUCAAACCAGCAAUGGAAAUGGAAAUGAAAGCAAAAUGUAAGGACGUGAGGUCUUUAUCCUUGGAGAUCCUGUAGAGUCUCCACAGACAUUCCUUGAAGAAAUCAGAUGGAGCUGAGCCCCACACUCUAACCGGUUCUCUGGGCAUACUGCAAAGGUCUAAUAAAAGGCACCUUUGCCCAGUUGCUUCAAUUCUAGGAAGCUGUUCAAUGUUUCACUAUAUUUCUCCAUACUCAUUGGAAAACAGCUCAUCAG